AAAUGAAUAGACGGGGGCCCGCACAAGCAGUGGAGUAUGUGGUUUAAUUCGAAGCAACGCGAAGAACCUUACCAGGGCUUGACAUCCCAAUGACCGCUCUAGAGAUAGAGCUUCUCUUCGGAGCAUUGGUGACAGGUGGUGCAUGGUUGUCGUCAGCUCGUGUCGUGAGAUGUUGGGUUAAGUCCCGCAACGAGCGCAACCCCUAUUGUUAGUUGCCAGCAUUCAGUUGGGCACUCUAACGAGACUGCCGGUGAUAAAUCGGAGGAAGGUGGGGACGACGUCAAAUCAUCAUGCCCCUUAUGUCCUGGGCUACACACGUACUACAAUGGCUGUUAACAGAGGGACGCUAUACUGUGAAGUAACGCAAAUCCCAAAAAGCAGUCUCAGUUCAGAUUGCAGGCUGAAACUCGCCUGCAUGAAGUCGGAAUUGCUAGUAAUCGCGAAUCAGAAUGUCGCGGUGAAUACGUUCCCGGGCCUUGUACACACCGCCCGU
rnacentral:rRNA from 1 species